AAUCUAUCGUGCCCACACCGUGAACCAAUUAUGCCCUCUUUAAUGGCAGCUUGAAAUAGCAGUUGAGAUACUUUAAAGAGCGCAGGUCAGGGGCCACUGCCUUUUGGUUGCUGGUUGACUUGGCUGGGCGGGUCCAAUACCAAUUGGGUUCCUUUGGCCUUUCAGGCUGAAGGUUCUACCAGUUGUGAGGGGUGGCUUGAAAAACUUUUAAAAUCUAUUUCUGAAGACAGACUGCUAAGCUGGCUUGCUGGCUGCAGACUGAUUAAAUAAAGACAACUCUCAACAACGGAUAUCUUGGCUCCCGUAACGAUGAAGAACGCAGCGAAAUGCGAUACGUAGUGUGAAUUGCAGAAUUCCGUGAACCAUCGAAUCUUUGAACGCAAAUUGCGCUCGAGGCUUCGGCCAAGAGCAUGUCUGCCUCAGCGUCGGCUUACUACCCUCAACCAAUUCCCUUACUGGGUAAUUGAUUGGAGCUGGCUGUCCGGUUGUGCCGAAAGGCUGCCGGUCAGCUGAAAAACAUUCGCACUGUGAAAGCUGCUUUCCCCUCAAAAGGAAAGCCGAGUUCCGAUUUGGUAGGUGACCUUUGCCGGUUGCAUGCCUUCGUUGCUCGUCUAGCUUUCAUGAAAGCGCGUGCAGGACGCCUUUUGGCUUUCGACCUGAGGUCAGGCAAGAACACCCGCUGAACUUAAGCAUAUCAAUAAGCGGAGGAAAAGAA
rnacentral:rRNA from 1 species